rnacentral:rRNA from 1 species
GAUGAACGCUGGCGGCGUGCCUAAUACAUGCAAGUCGAGCGAACAGACGAGGAGCUUGCUCCUCUGACGUUAGCGGCGGACGGGUGAGUAACACGUGGAUAACCUCCCUAUAAGACUGGGAUAACUUCGGGAAACCGGAGCUAAUACCGGAUAACAUGUUGAACCGCAUGGUUCAACAGUGAAAGACGGUCUUGCUGUCACUUAUAGAUGGAUCCGCGCCGCAUUAGCUAGUAGGUAAGGUAACGGCUUACCAAGGCAACGAGGCGUAGCCGACCUGAGAGGGUGAUCGGCCACACUGGAGCGUGGACACGGACCAGACGCCUACGGGAGGCAGCAGUAGGGAAUCUUCCGCAAUGGGCGAAAGCCUGACGCAGCAACGCCGCGUGAGUGAAGAAGGUCUUCGGAGCGUAAAACUCUGUUAUUAGGGAAGAACAAAUGUGUAAGUAACUAUGCACGGCUUGACGGUACCUAAUCAGAAAGCCACGGCUAACUACGUG